AACCUAGUUCGUUUACCAAAUUAUUAUAACAAUAAAGCAGUCCUACCUUUUUUUUUUAAAUAAUACUUACAUUAUGGGUAAUAAGCAAUCCUUAAAAACUCGUCCAUAUUCACAAAAACAAUUCAUUACUCAAGCGCAUAUGGAUUGGAUGCAUCAAAUGCAGAACUUGUUUCUUGAGAAGCCUACUAUGACUAAAACUGUGAUACUUCCUCCUGGAGUUCAUUUAGACGAUGAAAGAAUUAAUGAUGGAGUUGUAGUAGCUGAAAGAAAGUACUCUUUGCCUUUAGGAAAAUACCCUGAGUGGCCUGAAUCAAUACCUUUUGAAUGUGAUGUUGACAAACUUCUUCUACCACCUUGUCAAGGACAAGAACACAUGGAAACACAUUAUGCAGUGUAUCCGAACGAAUAUUUCCCUGAAGUUAGCUGCGCUUAUUGUAAUGCUAACGUUAAUUUAUGCAGAAGAACAUCUGAAAAAAAAAAAUCGCCUUCACCAACUGGUGAAGAUGAAUCUAUUAACGAUGAGAAAGAGAGUACAUAUUUUCUCCAUAGUAGUGAUUCCGUACAUUCAAAAACGUUAAGCAAAUCAAAUCAGUAUGAAUCCAAUCCUUUAGAACUCGAUAAGCGAAUUGAAAUAGCUUCAACCUCAUAGUUUUCUUAGAAACCUUGUACUUUAUUUGUCACAAGAAACAAUUCAUUGAAGACUACACACCUUAUAUAAACUAUUAUGGAUAUACUAUGUUAGAAGAAUACGUCUGAAAACUGUCAUACAUAAAGCAAAUUUUUCAUUAAGAAAAUUCAUGAAAAUAGUUGAUAGUAUGAAUCUAUAAUUUUGUGCUUUUCUGUUUGUCUUAAAAUGAUACCAACAAUAAAGCUAACGAAUAGUAUUGCUGUGUAAUCUUUAUUGAUUUUUUGUCACCAUUCGAUUUCAAAUAGUUUUACCAUUCAUCAUGUAUUUGAAAAAAACACCAACAUAUUAAUUUUUCCUUCAAUAGAAGAAAAAAAAAAGAAAAGUUGAAACAAACAAAACCGAUAAUAAUGUUUUUUUUUUUUGAUUGGAGUAGAUAUGAAAAAUUUAUUAUAUUUUAAAAAACAUGUUAACAUUUGUGACGUAUAUUUUAACUUGAUAAGAAAAAGGUAAACACUUAUAAAAAAGUAGAAAACGAGUCAUUCUAUCGAGUCGUUUUAUAUAAAAAAAAGCAGCAUCAGACGUCGGAGACAAUCAAAAUAACAAAACGGAGGAUAACGUUGUACUCAAAAGGAGGUUUCUUUAGAAAAAAGUUAAAAUCUUUUCAGAUGUCAAAUCGUUUAUUCUUGAAACUCUUAUUUAGAACAAAUUAAUUUUUUAUCCUAAGCACCCACUCAAUUUUGUAUGCACAUAGAAAUAAAAUAAAGUUAAAUCAAGUAUGUAGAUAGAUAGUAUACUUGUGUAUUUAAAUUUAAAUUAGUACAUUAAUAUUGGCAUGCGGUAGCUGUCGGGAGUUGAUGUGAACACAAAGUCACAAUGAAAUGUUUUACUUGUAGUUUAGUUAUUAUUUUAUGCAAAUAAGAAUUUUUGUUUUUUCAAACUCUUGGAAAAUGAAUAAAUAUUGUGAAAAACGUUAUGAAAAAAAAUCGACCGUUUCAUACACAGCUUCUGUUUUAAAUUUUGUUUCUUUUGUUGAAUGUCAAUUUUUUCCUUGUAAUGUUGUCAUAGUACAAAUCUGUGCUUUAUUUCAAUCGCAGUUAAAGAGUUACUACAGUAUGCCGACAUUCUUCAUCAAGACGUUGUUACUUUUUCUAGAAAGCUUGGCAUAUUGUGGAACACUGGUACACCAUGAAAACAUUUUGUUAAUGAGAGAAAAUGUUUUAUUUUUUUCAGGUCAAUGUAUAUGUUAUGCUACCUUGCGCUAUUUUCACAAUACUGUUUCAUUUUCGAAGCCAUAGACGGAUGGAUGUCGCUUUUGUAGGAUUUUUAGGGAUGAUAUGUUUAACUUUAACUCAUUUUAGUGUUCAUCAGUACCCGCAAUUGCUUAGCAACAAGUGGUUAUUUUUUGACUUGGAUUCCUCUGUAGUUUUCUCACUUAAUUUUAUGGGAACGGUUCUUGUAGUCCUUUCAAAUAGCUUGAAUAGAAAAAUUCAUGUUACAACUUUAUCUAAUAAUAACCAGAAUGGUUUGUUGUGCACCGAAUGGGGAGAAACGGAUGCACUGUUAAAUUCAGAUUUCUAUGAUUUGGGUGAUAAUUCUUUGCAAAAAAAAUUUUUUUGGGGUAACGAAUGACUUCAAAGCUAGUUUCGACACUCGAGAUGAUUUGAAAUGAUAUUGAUUAAGUAGAACGGUUGCUGACAUAAUUUUUUUAUUGAAUCAAUAACAAAGUCGUGAAGCAGUAAAAAAUGAAUGUGGCAUGCGGAGAAAAUUUGAAGGAUAUUAUUAAAUGACAUGAAUUACUUAUGGUAGCAUUUCGCUUAAGCUUGAUCCUUAUACCCUGGAAUGCUCCGCAUGAUUAGACAGAAAUCUAAGGUUGUAAAUAAUUUUCUAAUGUAUUUCAAAUAAUGCUGAAAUAAGACUGCUUAACUAAUGAAAUUUCUAACAUUUUGAGUAUUAAGAAAAAACGUACUUGUCGUUUUUCCACACCGUUUCAUAUUGAAGAUAUCUCCGAAUAGGAUCUACACGUAAUCGUCUAUUGUCUUGCCUACUACUAAUAAGGACACCCCUAGUAGCGUAGGCUAAAUUUUUCCUCCUCUCUGACAGCUUGUUACUUAAUAUGGGGUGAAUGGUUAUGGUUGAAUAUGGAAUUUGACUCAAAUCAAGAAUAUCUUUUGAAAACGGUUUCGAGUUUUUGUCUGACAUAGUAAAUUAAAUUGAAUGUUAAGAAACAAAUGAUGCUAAAAGGUUACGUUGAUUUGAAAAGUGUAGUAGUUUUUGCGAAUCAAUGGAUGCAAUUAUUUUCUUCAUAAAAACAAAAAUUCAGCAUUAUUUUUUUUGAAAAACCGAAACGCCAUUAAUUUGGAAAAAAAAAAAAAAGAACUCACUGGGGUUUCAAUCGGAACCCAUUCUAAGGAACCGUCGGAUGUAUCAGAAGAGUAACGUUUCCGUGUUGUCGAUUUUUCUAAUACUAUCCGAAUCAUUCAAGCGACUGCACAAGCUAGUGUUUUGUGAAUUGAAAAACGACUCUGUUUUUGAAAUCGUUUGACUUAACUUUUGAUUUAAUAAUUCUAUUUCUUUCAUUGAUUUUAAAAAGUGAAACUAAGGC